UACAGAGGUCUCAAGCGUUGUUCGGAUUCAUUGGGCGUAAAGGGUGCGUAGGCGGCGCCGUAAGUCAGGUGUGAAAUUUCGGAGCUUAACUCCGAAACUGCAUUUGAUACUGCGGUGCUUGAGGACUGGAGAGGAGACUGGAAUUUACGGUGUAGCAGUGAAAUGCGUAGAGAUCCGGAGGAACACCAGUGGCGAAAGCGGCCACCUGGACUGCACCUGACGCUGAAACGCGAAAGCUAGGGGAGCGAACGGG
rnacentral:rRNA from 1 species